rnacentral:rRNA from 1 species
GCCGCGGUAAGACGUAGGGCGCGAGCGUUGUCCGGAUUUAUUGGGCGUAAAGAGCUCGUAGGCGGCUUGUUGCGUCGACCGUGAAAACCCGGGGCUUAACUUCGGGCUUGCGGUCGAUACGGGCGGGCUAGAGUUCGGUAGGGGAGACUGGAAUUCCUGGUGUAGCGGUGAAAUGCGCAGAUAUCAGGAGGAACACCGGUGGCGAAGGCGGGUCUCUGGGCCGAUACUGACGCUGAGGAGCGAAAGCGUGGGGAGCGAACAGGAUUAGAUACCCUGGUAGUCCACGCUGUAAACGUUGGGCGCUAGGUGUGGGGGGCCUCUCCGGUCCUCUGUGCCGCAGCUAACGCAUUAAGCGCCCCGCCUGGGGAGUACGGCCGCAAGGCUAAAACUCAAAGGAAUUGACGGGGGCCCGCACAAGCGGCGGAGCAUGCGGAUUAAUUCGAUGCAACGCGAAGAAC